GCCUGGGUGGCUCAGUUGGUUGAGUGUCUGACUUCAGCUCAGGUCAUGAUCUCACAGCUCAUGGGUUCAAGCCCCGUGUUGGGCU
rnacentral:tRNA from 1 species